AACGAACGCUGUCGGCAUGCCUAACACAUGCAAGUCGAACGACACCUUCGGGUCUCGUGGCGCACGGGUGCGUAACGCGUGGGAAUCUGCCCUUGGGUUCUGGAUAACAGUUGGAAACGACUGCUAAUACCGGAUGAUGACUUCGGUCCAAAGAUUUAUCGCCCAGGGAUGAGCCCGCGUCGGAUUAGCUAGUUGGUGAGGUAAGAGCUCACCAAGGCGACGAUCCGUAGCUGGUCUGAGAGGAUGAUCAGCCACACUGGGACUGAGACACGGCCCAGACUCCUAAGGGAGGCAGCAGUGGGGAAUAUUGGACAAUGGGAGAAAGCCUGAGCCAGCAAUGCCGCGUGAGUGAUGAAGGCCUUAGGGUUGUAAAGCUCUUUUACCCGGGAUGAUAAUGACAGUACCGGGAGAAUAAGCCCCGGCUAACUCCGUG
rnacentral:rRNA from 1 species